ACUGGCAACCUUGGAAGGCAGGAAUGUGAAACUUUUCCCUACUACUUAGCAUCAGAAUUGAAUAGGAGACCGCAUUCUGCCAUUUCUGGCGGCAGUGUGGCUCUGCCAGCUGGCCUUCUGCACGGUAAUUCAGAGGCAGCACCUUGGUUUGGUGGUUGUCUUAAUCAAAGCAUAUGUGUUGGUGGGUCUCUGCUAAAAAUGCCCAUUUUGUUUUUUUUCUGUUUCUACAUCAGGAUCCCCUAACAACAGUGAGAGAGCAAUGCGAGCAGUUGGAGAAAUGUGUAAAGGCCCGGGAGCGGCUAGAGCUCUGUGAUGAGCGUGUAUCCUCUCGAUCACAUACAGAAGAGGAUUGCACGGAGGAGCUCUUUGACUUCUUGCAUGCAAGGGACCAUUGUGUGGCCCACAAACUCUUUAACAACUUGAAAUAAAUGUGUGGACUUAAUUCACCCCAGUCUUCAUCAUCUGGGCAUCAGAAUAUUUCCUUACGGUUUUGGAUGUACCAUUUGUUUCUUAUUUGUGUAACUGUAAGUUCACAUGAACCUCAUGGGUUUUGGCUUAGGCUGGUAGCUUCUAUGUAAUUCUCAAUGAUUCCAUCUAAAUAAAAGUUCUGUGAUCUGCAAA
rnacentral:sRNA from 1 species